CGACGGAGAGCACCGACCGAACCCCAAUCAGCGAGAUUGGGGGACACCUGGCCGAAAGCCGAGGAGCCAUGUUAAAAGGAGCAGGAGGACUGACAUUGGGGCAGACCAGGAACGGGAGGAGGAAGCGCUCGGGCCCACGGAGGCCCUAGAGACUGUCUAUCUUGGAUAUUUAACUGCAGUUCUGUGAGUAUCCCAACUUAACCAUGAAGAUGAACUGUAAACUGUAAGUCAUUAAUUUCUCAUUACUCUUGGGCACAUUGAUGUAUUUUGGCUUCCUGGUGGGUUAACCUGUUACCUGAAGGUUGAUCUGAGUAUUAAGGAUGUUUUAUUGGUUCAUGGGUUACUUAGGUGUUUGGUUUAUGUUGGUUUUAAUGAUUUGUUAAAAUGGUUACAGGCUCCAAGUUAUUGUUGUAAGAUGGAGUAAUGGGUUUGGUUCUGAUAUUUUUAGUCUUCUUUCAUUCUACUCUCCUGAGCUCUGCAUCUUCAUCACAUGAGUGUUGCUCUACUGAUGAGGUCGUGGUCUGAGUGAGCAGAGGUGCAUACUGGGAUACAGAGCUGUCUCGAGUCUACAGUUCUGUAGACACGCCCCCUCAGGGGAAACCGAGUGUUUGAGAAACUGUCGUGACGUCAGUUACAUGGACUGGAAUGUUCUUAAAGAUGGUGACAGGGAUUCAGAAGGAGAAACACCAGGGGGAGAUGAGGGGCUCCUCAUCUCAACGACUAAAACACAACUUCAGUCUGACACAGAGAAUCAUGGAACACAUUCAACAGUCCCCUCCAGGCAUCGUGACUCCUCAGGAACAGUUUCAUUUCCAAGAAGGUCUUAUUUGGGGCCAUCCCCAUAUGGAUCCUGCUCCUCAAGAGCCACCCCCCUCCACUGGGUGGUCUUCUGAACAGAUGACCUCCUUCCUGUCCUCAGGCUGACUAAAGCUGCACCGUUUGCAUCUGUGAAGGCCCCUCAUUCAGGAAACCACUGGACUACAAAGACAUGACUUCAGAGAUGUUGAAUCAACCUGGGACACAUUUUGGACACGCCAAGCAUAAUCCAUCACCAAUGUGGGACGCCACUGAAGAAUGCUGUACAUAAUUUGCGUCUCUAGAGACAUUGGUUGUUCUGUUCUGGGUGCCCUGGCAGGAGAGCUGGGGGGGGGAUGAUGGAAUGUAAUUUGCUAUGAGGUUUAUACCCUGCAUGAUUGUUUGGCCUUUUAUGGCUCAGUGGUGUGUGUGUUUGGGUUUGACAUGAGAUGGAAGAUUUUUGAGCAUCUUUAGGGUUCUACUGUGUGUCUCCCACUCACACCUGGCAUGGGGUUCUACGUGCCUGUCCUGGGUCCUAUGUGUGUGUGUGGCUUGCUUUGACAGUGAUGAUGUUCAUACAGGGGUCUGUGUGAUUGGCUUGGGAUAUUGGAAUGGUCAACUAAAUCAUACCUGAUGGACGGCCACACAUUUACUUAAGGGCCUCCAGUAGACAUGAAGAGCCCUGAGCGACGCUCCGGAGCGAGAUCCAACACACUGGGCAGGAAGGGGAGUAUCCAACUCAAGUGUAAAAGGAUGCAAGCGGCGUUUUCAGAUCAGUGACUUCAAACUAGGACUACACCAAUCGGGAUCAAUGGAGGAUGGACACCUAAAGGCAUUCCACAAGGAGAGUCUGACGUUGGAAAGGGACCUAAAUGGAUGUUCAAGAUGACCUUCAGACCUGUAAUGAGACGGCUCUUCCUACCUGGCUGGAUUGAUGGAGAGCCCUGUGGAUCUUGUCUUGCUCUCAGUUGCACUUCUUCUCAGGCUGAACUGUAAUUGUUUCGGACAGGACUAGCUGAACGAUUGGUUCCCUUAAAUCAGAACCAACCCGGGAACUCCAGCUAGUGCGCUCUUCGAGCUGAAGUUGUGCUCUUCAGCUGAGGAGGAAAGGAAACCUUCACUGGGGCUUCAAGGUGUAAAGAGGAGGAUGUUUCAAAGUGUUCCAUGGUACUCUGAUGAAGACCAUUGUUGUGUUCCACUGGCUGCGAGGAAGAACCCACACAUCUUCCUCUUGGCCUUUCUCCUCUGAGAAUCCUGGCACCAUCUUGAAGGAUAUUCCAGCUCAUGUAACUGAUGUCACGACAGAUUCUCCAGCACUUGUUUCUCCUGAGGGGUGUGUCUAUGGAACUGAAGACUUCAGACAGCACUGUAUCCCAGCAUGCAUCUCUGCUCACUCAGACCACACUCCCAUGAGUAGGAUACAACACUCUAGUGAUGGAGAUGUAGAGUUUUAUAAAUAACGAGGGAGCAGACUAAGGUGAUUGGAACACAAUGGAAUGUCAAGUCUGUACAUUUUUAAGCCAUGAAGAUGGUUGGAUAGUUCAGGAAUUGGGCUUUUUAUUAUGGGCAGUCCUUUCACUCAGAUGCCCACUUCUCACUGGAGCUGUACAUGUGUUGGCUGGCAUGAUUUGCUGUUGGUGAUGAGGCGGUCAGGGUGACGUUGCAGGGCUAUGGUCGGCUCUCUGUGAGCUCAACGUUUAGAUUUGCUCUGUAUGGUUUGUACCCUGAAUAAUCUAGAUAAUUGUAAAAUGUAGACACAGAUUUGUAUUGAAUGAUUCCCGGUUUUUAGGUUUAAGGUUGUUGUGGGACGUACAUGGUAGUUUGGUUCUUCGUAUGGUUUUGAUUUUGAGUGAUAUAACUUGUACACACUGGGUGCAUAAUAAUGUAAAGGUACACUGAAUAGUAUUAAUGACCAACGGCAACAAACAGAUCUCCUCAAGGUAAGUCUGUUGGCUGUGUUUUAAUGAAGACCAUCGCUGGAUUUCAGGAUCUUCCUCCGUUCAGCUCAAGGUGAGGCGCUGGUUCCGUUUUUCUUUGGUUGGUUCCGGCCGGAAUGUUCGUAUUCCAGUCGGACGGUUUGUGCUUCCCGCCGUGCAAGGUUCUGAGUGCGGUCACUUGAUUUAGUCCCAAUGGUUAGCAUAGAACGUUGUAGUCGGUUUCCAUUGGGAAUUGUUGCCCCCUAUCUUAAACAACUAAAGUUUGAUAUUAAAUACAUACUGAGGCGUACGUCGUACAAUAUGUUGAUAAUUUCCGAUGGUUGCGCCGUACUUUUAACCACGAUGACGUUGCGGGACUCUCACUGCGUACAAAACAGCGUUCUACUUGCGGGCCCAUUUUUGACAUCGGAAGGCUGAAAAUCAUUUCAAGGUGGAAGAUAAUUUGACAUUUCUUCAACGGAACCCAGCACCUGAAUAUGGCUGAGUAUAUUUUAUUUAAUAUCGAUAUCGCUUAGUGUUCUUUGUUACUUCAGCUUUUGUACGUUCUAAAUAUCUCAUUAAUUGCCACAGAAGUUAAACCCUACCCAAUGGAAUGACGUUAAACAACGACUUUGGUGCAGAGUUACCAACUGGAUAAUAUCAAAGCUCAAAAUAAUGGCCGUCAUUCCCACAUGUUACAGUAGAAGAUACUCUAGAACUGUACAAGGAUAAAAAGGUAACGUGUAGUUUGUCCCAAGGUGUCUGCCUCCUCACCCAGAGCAAGACCUCCACCUCCUCACCCAGAGCCAGACCUCCACCUCCUCACCCAGAGCCAGACCUCCACCUCCUCACCCAGAGCCAGACCUCCACCUCCGGUCAGAAGUCCUCCAGAACAGCUGAAAGGCGAGGCUGAGAGGCUGGGGACCGGAGGCUUGUGGUGCCAGGGUGGACCGGAGACUGAGGCUGGAGACCAGGGGCCUGCAGCACCGGACCAGAGGACCAGGAUUCCAUGGCUGAAGGCGCUGAUGGAGGAGCCGUGCUGAAGGCCCUGCCUGAUGGAGGAGUCGUGCUGAAGGCCCCGCCUGGUGGAGGAGUCGUGCUGAAGGCCCCGCCUGGUGGAGGAGCUGGUGGAUGCCCUGCCUGGUGGAGAACGUCUGUCGUGGGACCAGGACUCUGUCUGAGGAGAGCUGCUGGAGGACGACUAGGAAUCGACCAACCAGGAUUCCUCAACGUGUUUCUGGAGCGGAGGCGAGCUGCUAACGGAGCCGUGAAUCUGGAGGAUGACAUCACUCUACCAACCAGGGUUGUAAGUUUGUAUUAACCAAACAAACUGGAAAUAAAGGGCUUAAAAAUAAGACAAACUACAUGUUUGUUACCAGUCUUUAGGGCCAGACUCGCGCUGUUUGUUCCAGACCACGACUCGGGCUGAGGAGAGCUGAUGGAGGAGCCAAGACUCUGGAGGACGACAUCACUCCACCAACCAGGAUCCUCAGACAAAUUACGUUUGUAACCAGACCAGGAACCUGGAGGACUGAUGGAGAAGCUGUACAUCUGGAUGGCAAAUCCUGAGGACCACCAGAACUCUACCAUCAAGGAUUCCUCAUAAAUGUGCAUUAUCUGGACAUAGUGGACUAGACACACCUGAGCUGAACCUCACCUGAUCCUGUUUGGUCGGGGGUAGACGCACCUGAGCUAAACCCGCCCUGAUCCUGACAUCCUGCUGGUCCCGUCUCCUCAGUUCAUCUGAGCCUCGUCCUCCAGAAGACCUGCUGAGCUCAGCAGUCUGAGGCUGAUGAAUCAAUGACCUCCAGUGGGAGUGAUCUUCUUGACCCCACAUGUUACCGUGUGCUUUCACACGCCUUUCUCUCACGUCUGUCACUAACCUCACUACUUCACUACUCUCUACUGCUUCCUCUUUUCUUCCUUCUCUGUGGUUCGAACCUUUACACUGGAGGCGCGUCUUCCUGCCCUCAGAGGGUUUAGGGUUGAGUGUCAGGGUUUAGAGUCGGGGACAGAGCUGGUCAGGGAGGACUGCUUUUACAAAAACCUCUUCACUUGCUUUCGGAAUGGUGGUGACAUUUUGAAAAGAUUCAUUUGGGAAAAUGUUUUCCUCUGCUUUCCUUUACAAAAUUGUAUCAAACUUAUGUCAAGUGUUUUUGUUUAUAUAUUAAAAUCCCAUAUUGACUUCUACAUUUUUGUUGCGGUUCAUUUAAUUGUCCUUUGACUUGGUUAAUGUCAAGCUAAACUCCCGCAAUACAUUUAAUAUACAUGAUGGUUAUUCUGCAAUGUUCACAUAAUCCAUUUUGUAAAAAUAUGAAACCUCCAUAUUACUACUAAAUUCAAGCCUAUUCAUGUAUUUAACAAUGUACAUUCUGCCCCGCUAUGGAGGUAGAUUUGUGUCUUUAUUAUGCAAUCAAAAAAUAGAUUUGAGAGCAAAACUAUCAAC
ensembl:lncRNA